rnacentral:lncRNA from 1 species
ACUCUUAUACAAGAGUUGAGUGGUGAGUUCUUCUUGUAUUGUUGUAUUUUAUUCUCUCAUAGUGAAGCUUGCACGCCCCAUAGAGGUAGGCCUGAAGUCGAUCCAUAUAUUUAUAUUAUAUUUUUUAUUUUACUUUUUCUUUCUUCCUGCUGCAAUACGUGGUACCGGAUCCUACACAACAGACCUGAUGUGACCUGAUGGGAUGGCAUGAUGGCCACACCUGUCGUUCGGCCAGGCUGACGUCUGUGUCAAGAAGUCGGUUGAAUGAGCCCGUUGUGGUAUGAUCCAGUCAUCGAUUUGGGUAGUUGAUAAGGCACCAAGGAAAUAGUCGGCCUCCCGAUGAUGUCGACCUCCUGAUGAUGUCGGCCUCCUCAUGAGGUCGGCCUUCGGAUGACAUCGUGAGAUUGAUCUUCAUAUGACCUCGUAAGGCUGCCCUCCGAUGAUGUCAUGAGGUCGGCCUCUUGAUGAUGUCAGUCUCCUCAUGAGGUUGGCCUCCGGAGGAUGUCGUGAGUUCAGCCUCCGGAUGACCUCGUGAGGCCGGCCUCCUGAUGAUGUCGUGAGGUCAGCCUCCUGAUGAUGUCGGCCUCCUGGUGAGGUCGGCCUCCUGAUGACUUUAUGAGAUCAACCUUCAGAUGAUGUCAGUCUCCUCUUGAGGUCAGCUUUUGGAUGAUCUCAUGAGGUCAACCUCUGGAUGACCUCCAUAUCGACCUCAGUACUCUUAGUUGGUU